rnacentral:rRNA from 1 species
UACGUAGGGGGCGAGCGUUGUCCGGAAUCAUUGGGCGUAAAGCGCGUGUAGGCGGCUUGGUAAGUCCGGUGUGAAAACUUGGAGCUCAACCCCAAGCCUGCACUGGAUACUGCCUCGCUUGAGUCCGGGAGGGGAGAGCGGAAGUCCUAGUGUAGCGGUGAAAUGCGCAGAUAUUAGGAAGAACACCGGUGGCGAAGGCGGCUCUCUGGAACGGUACUGACGCUGAGACGCGAAAGCGUGGGGAGCGAACAGG